rnacentral:rRNA from 1 species
AUUGAACGCUGGCGGCAUGCCUUACACAUGCAAGUCGAACGGUAGGGGGAGCAAUCCCCUGAGAGUGGCGAACGGGUGAGUAAAGCAUCGGAACGUGCCCAGUUGUGGGGGAUAACUACUCGAAAGAGUGGCUAAUACCGCAUACGACCUGAGGGUGAAAGCGGGGGACCGAAAGGCCUCGCGCAGUUGGAGCGGCCGAUGUCAGAUUAGCUAGUUGGUGGGGUAAAGGCCCACCAAGGCGACGAUCUGUAGCUGGUCUGAGAGGACGACCAGCCACACUGGGACUGAGACACGGCCCAGACUCCUACGGGAGGCAGCAGUGGGGAAUUUUGGACAAUGGGCGCAAGCCUGAUCCAGCCAUGCCGCGUGCAGGAAGAAGGCCUUCGGGUUGUAAACUGCUUUUGUCAGGGAAGAAAUCCCUUGGGUUAAUACCUCGGGGGGAUGACGGUACCUGAAGAAUAAGCACCGGCUAACUACGUGCCAGCAGCCGCCGUAAUAC